CUACACAUGCAGUCGACGGCAGCACAGAGAGAGCUUGCUCCUUGGGUGGCGAGUGGCGGACGGGUGAGGAAUACAUCGGAAUCUACUCUGUCGUGGGGGAUAACGUAGGGAAACUUACGCUAAUACCGCAUACGACCUACGGGUGAAAGCAGGGGAUCUUCGGACCUUGCGCGAUUGAAUGAGCCGAUGUCGGAUUAGCUAGUUGGCGGGGUAAAGGCCCACCAAGGCGACGAUCCGUAGCUGGUCUGAGAGGAUGAUCAGCCACACUGGAACUGAGACACGGUCCAGACUCCUACGGGAGGCAGCAGUGGGGAAUAUUGGACAAUGGGCGCAAGCCUGAUCCAGCCAUACCGCGUGGGUGAAGAAGGCCUUCGGGUUGUAAAGCCCUUUUGUUGGGAAAGAAAUCCAGCCGGCUAAUACCUGGUUGGGAUGACGGUACCCAAAGAAUAAGCACCGGCUAACUUCGUGCCAGCAGCCGCGGUAAUACGAAGGGUGCAAGCGUUACUCGGAAUUACUGGGCGUAAAGCGUGCGUAGGUGGUCGUUUAAGUCCGUUGUGAAAGCCCUGGGCUC
rnacentral:rRNA from 1 species